rnacentral:tRNA from 1 species
GGGUUGGUAGCUCAGCUGGUAGAGCACUCGGCUUUUAACCGACUGGUCGUGGGUUCGAGUCCCACCCAACCCA